rnacentral:rRNA from 1 species
UGGGGAAUAUUGCACAAUGGGCGAAAGCCUGAUGCAGCAACGCCGCGUGAGUGAUGAAGGCCUUCGGGUUGUAAAGCUCUGUCUUUUGGGACGAUAAUGACGGUACCAAAGGAGGAAGCCACGGCUAACUACGUGCCAGCAGCCGCGGUAAUACGUAGGUGGCAAGCGUUGUCCGGAUUUACUGGGCGUAAAGGAUGCGUAGGCGGAUUUUUAAGUGAGAUGUGAAAUACCCGGGCUUAACUUGGGUGCUGCAUUUCAAACUGGGAAUCUAGAGUGCGGGAGAGGAGAAUGGAAUUCCUAGUGUAGCGGUGAAAUGCGUAGAGAUUAGGAAGAACACCAGUGGCGAAGGCGAUUCUCUGGACCGUAACUGACGCUGAGGCAUGAAAGCGUGGGUAGCAAACAGGAUUAGAUACCCUGGUAGUCCACGCCGUAAACGAUGAGUACUAGGUGUAGGAGGUAUCGACCCCUUCUGUGCCGCAGUUAACACAAUCAAGUACUCCGCCUGGGAAGUACGAUCGCAAGAUUAAAACUCAAA